ensembl:lncRNA
CUGAAAAGGGGCCAUUUCUUUUUUUUUUUUGCUGAUUUUAUGUAAUGCAUGCCUGUCACAGUUGAUGGCCCUUGAUAAUGUCCUGAUUUGAAUAUCUGGGGAAUAAUCCAAUUUUCCCAAGCACACGAAUCUCUCACCUGAACCGCCACCACCAUUCUGUCUGGUCCAGUUUUCCGCCAGUGCACCAGCAGCAUGGGAGAAGUUUUGACGUGAUCUCUCACCAUGCUCACUCCAAAUGCACGGUGUCAGGACUCAUGCAACACUCCUGCUGCUCGUACACAGGUUGCUGGCUCGGACUCAGGCCUCAGUAGAAGUGGUGCAGGACAGGGCUGUAGUGAACACCAUUACUUCAGUUGGUUAGGGGGGGUGAAGCUCACACUAUUCAUGUCAUAUUAUUCUUUCCAUGCAUAUAUAUAUAUAUAUAUAUAUAUCAUUGGUAGUCACUAUCGCCAUAACUUAGAAAGGACAGACCAAAACAACAGUUUAAGGCAUUUCUGACUCAGAAAAUCCAAACAAAUAUUUACCGUAUGACAAAAUAUUAUUUUCCCAAUUUUAUUUUUACAAAAUUCCUCAGACAAAUGUCAAAGAGCAUACCAACACACUGUUGACACCAUUUCCAAAUUGGCUUAUACUCCCUUAUCAUACUGGUGACCACAACUCAGAGUUAUGGGGUCAGGUAGAUGGAGGGCUAACCCUUAGGGAGAAACCCGACCAUACAGCAGACCCAAUCUAGUUAAAUUUGUAUUGAAACAAAAACAAAUACAAAGCAAUGAAAACCAACAAUUAUUAUCCACAUGAGUGACAUAUGGUAUCAAGGGCCAUUGCUUACUGAACUGUUAGUUGUUGAAGAACAAGUUGUUGAUGAACAAUUUGAGAUGUUACAAUGUACAACUUCUCACCAGUGAUACAGAUCAUUGUGUCUAUCACAAAGAUACAUCUACCUUAUCAGUUUGUGGUUUCCAUCAAGGUGCCCUAACGAGUUUGGUCCAGCAACACAGUAUGACCUUCUAUGCAGCCUCUGCGACAUGGCUCUGAGGGCAGCCGCCCUCGGGUUAACACGAAGCAUGCUGUCCCUCACUCUGCGUCUCUGCACCCAGAGCCCUUAAUUGUGAUUGAACAGCCUCCGGUCCACGUUUGUCGUUCCCAGCCACCAAGUCCUUAAUCUUUUCAUUCAGAGCCAAGUCUGACAUGUCAGAAUAUAACGGUGCAUGUGACAGAUUGAAGUGUCU